CCUACGGGUGGCUGCAGUGGGGAAUAUUGGACAAUGGGGGGAACCCUGAUCCAGCCAUGCCGCGUGUGUGAAGAAGGCCCUCGGGUUGUAAAGCACUUUCAGUGAGGAAGAAAGCCUGGUGGUUAAUACCCAUCAGGAAAGACAUCACUCACAGAAGAAGCACCGUCUAACUCCGUGCCAGCAGCCGCGGUAAUACGGAGGGUGCGAGCGUUAAUCGGAAUUACUGGGCGUAAAGCGCGCGUAGGUGGCUUGAUAAGCCGGUUGUGAAAGCCCCGGGCUCAACCUCGGAACGGCAUCCGGAACUGUCAAGCUAGAGUGCAGGAGAGGAAGGUAGAAUUCCCGGUGUAGCGGUGAAAUGCGUAGAGAUCGGGAGGAAUACCAGUGGCGAAGGCGGCCUUCUGGACUGACACUGACGCUGAGGUGCGAAAGCGUGGGUAGCAAACAGGAUUAGAUACCCGAGUAGUC
rnacentral:rRNA from 1 species